GACGAACGCUGGCGGCGUGCUUAACACAUGCAAGUCGAACGGUGAAGCGCCUUCCUUUUUGGUGGGUGUGGAUGAGUGGCGAACGGGUGAGUAACACGUGAGUAACCUGCCCCCUUCUUCUGGAUAACCGCAUGAAAGUGUUGCUAAUACGGGAUAUUCUGGGUCUGUCGCAUGAUGGGUCUGGGAAAGAUAUUGUUUCGGUGGGGGAUGGGCUCGCGGCCUAUCAGCUUGUUGGUGGGGUGAUGGCCUACCAAGGCGGUGACGGGUAGCCGGCCUGAGAGGGUGGACGGGCACACUGGGACGGAGACACGGCCCAGACUCCUACGGGAGGCAGCAGUGGGGAAUAUUGCACAAUGGGCGCAAGCCUGAUGCAGCGACGCCGCGUGAGGGAUGGAGGCCUUCGGGUUGUGAACCUCUUUCGCCAGUGAAGCAGGCCUGCCUCGUUUGUGGGUGGGUUGACGGUAGCUGGAUAAGAAGCGCCGGCUAACUACGU
rnacentral:rRNA from 1 species